AGAUUGAACGCUGGCGGCAUGCUUUACACAUGCAAGUCGAACGGUAACAGGCCGCAAGGUGCUGACGAGUGGCGAACGGGUGAGUAAUGUAUCGGAACGCGCCCAGUCGUGGGGGAUAACGCAGUGAAAGCUGUGCUAAUACCGCAUACGAUCUAUGGAUGAAAGCGGGGGACUCGCAAGAGCCUCGCGCGAUUGGAGCGGCCGAUAUCAGAUUAGCUAGUUGGUGGGGUAAAAGCCCACCAAGGCGACGAUCUGUAGCUGGUCUGAGAGGACGACCAGCCACACUGGAACUGAGACACGGUCCAGACUCCUACGGGAGGCAGCAGUGGGGAAUUUGGACAAGUGGGCG
rnacentral:rRNA from 1 species